UAGCCCGAGCAAACCCGGCCCGGCCUGGAGGAUGCCCAGGUUUAGCUGGGAACAAUCGCCGUCAGCCGCACGGCGAUACCGGGAGCCCCGUCGACUCCGGCGGCCGGAGGGCAACGCACGCGGGCCCGCACUCACGUCACGGCUCUCGCCACAGCUAAUCCGGCGAAGCUCUCCGCGGCCUAGGCCGCCAGAAGUUUACUAGGUGGCUGAUGGUCCAGGUUCAUGCCAAGGAAAUCCCAGCUUCUUGUGGUCAUCAAGUCAUGGUGCUGAUUUGGAGUAACGCUGAUAACUUCAGGUAAACGAUGUACAGCUACGCGUGGAGAGGGACAGAAAACACAACUUAGCAUCGAACAGAAUCAACACUAUGAGAUACAGUAAAAUGUAGGGUGAUGCAUCAGCCAUACCUUUUGAGACCCAUACCCUCUGCUUAUGCUUAUCAUAAGGCAUAAGCAGAGUAGGAGGUAAGCUGAAAAACGCCGAGGGGAAGAGUGGAAAUCCAUGUUGGUGUGGAAGCACAUGCUGAUAUGAUCCAACAACAGAAAGGAAGGUCAAAGAUACAGGCUCAGUUGGCAUGAAUCCAAUCUUUCGGCUAUCGACGCCAAUUUCCUCCCUGAAGUUUCCCUGGAACUAGCUCAGCUGAAACGCGUUGCGUUCCCCCCUGCUCCAGUAUUCUCCCAUUUCAAACCUGCAACGAAAUUGCUGAAGAUGCUGCCGGUUGCUGUAGGCAAUAACAGGGCAGGGCUCCGUUCAGACAGGGAAUCAAAUCAAGGGCCCUCCGGAUGGUCUCGUGCGCGUGUUGAAGGUGUGGUGGUUCUCAAUCGGCGGCGGGUUUUGUAUGCCUUUCCUUUUCCUGGCCGCUGCAUAUGAUUGUACGGGUCCAUCACCCGUGGCUGUGAGCGAUCCGGAGAACAUUGACUUCCUGAUGAGAGAGCAUCUCUCUUCCAUCUCUUCCGGAGAGAAGAUUGACUUGACUAGCGCGUCGACCAUCCAUGCCAUACGUAGUGCCAGCUCUUCCAGUGUUAUCGUGCAGACGUCAGUGCAGCCUGCUGAUCUUUUAGGCCAACUCCACCGCGCGACCUCAAACG